rnacentral:pre_miRNA from 1 species
UGGCCAAAAAGUUCGUUUGAGCUUUCUUAUACCAUGGAAAAUCAAUGAACUUUUUGGCCAGC